UGAGAUCUAAACUAACAUCACCAUCAAUAUUUUUAGGUGAAACCACAGCGAUGCGCCCGGUAGUUGCAGUCUAAAAAUAUUUAGCAGGACGUUAAUCUGAACCCCGCCAGCUGAUUAAUCCAAUCACAAUGGAACUUACUCCCAACAACACUCGAAGGGGUAACCAAGAUUAAGAUGCAACAGGCUAUUAAAUGAUCUAUCGUCUAUG
rnacentral:lncRNA from 1 species